rnacentral:rRNA from 1 species
GGUUUACAAGGGUGUUCAGGCUGUCUGAUAAGUCAGAGGUGAAAGUCGGUUGCUUAACGAUCGAAUGGCCUUUGAAACUGUUAGACUCGAGUAUGGAUGCGGUAGGCGGAAUGUGUAGUGUAGCGGUGAAAUGCAUAGAUAUUACACAGAACACCGAUUGCGAAGGCAGCUUACCAAACCAGCACUGACGCUGAAGCACGAAAGCGUGGGUAGCGAACAGGAUUAGAUACCCUGGUAGUCCACGCCGUAAACUUUGCUCACUCGCUGUUGGCGAUACACAGUCAGCGGCUAAGGGAAACCGAUAAGUGAGCCACCUGGGGAGUACGAUCGCAAGAUUGAAACUCAAAGGAAUUGACGGGGGCCCGCACAAGCGGUGGAACAUGUGGUUUAAUUCGAUGAUACGCGAGGAACCUUACCUGGGCUUAAAUGUAUAGUGCAUGAAUGUGAAAACAUUCUUUCCUUCGGGACUUUAUACAAGGUGCUGCAUGGUUGUCGUCAGCUCGUGCCGUGAGGUGUCGGGUUAAGUCCCAUAACGAGCGCAACCCCUAUUGUUAGUUACCAGCGCGUAAUGGCGGGGACUCUAGCGAAACUGCCGGUGUAAACCGCGAGGAAGGUGGGGAUGACGUCAAAUCAGCACGGCCCUUAUGUCCAGGGCUACACACGUGUUACAAUGGCCGGUACAGAGGGCAGCGGAGUAGUGAUACUUAGCGAAUCUCCAAAGCCGGUCCCAGUUCGGAUUGGAGUCUGCAACCCGACUCCAUGAAGGUGGAAUCGCUAGUAAUCGCGCAUCAGCCAUGGCGCGGUGAAUACGUUCCCGGGCCUUGUACACACCGCCCGUCAAGCCAUGGAAGUUUGGGG